rnacentral:lncRNA from 11 species
GUAAACCUCGAGAAUAGAACAAACAAGGCAGCACAAUGCAAUCCUAUGUAAGUUUACUUACUUGCCUGUCCUUGAUGCAGUACCCCAAUCCACUAAUUCUGGAAUACACAUAAUAAGAAAACAGCUGAAGCCUAGCUGCUUGGAAAUCAUGUCUGAGUUUAACAUUAGAUUUUUGGAGCACUCUUUGAUCAAGGAGACAGAACAUAAAUCCCUACUCACACAGUUACACAGCAUUUGCACCAUGCUGCCUCAUUGGAGAACUCUGCAAUUGCAGGGGCAAACUGGCAAUGUACAAUGUGAG